CCUACGGGGGGCAGCAGUGGGGAAUAUUGGACAAUGGGGGCAACCCUGAUCCAGCCAUGCCGCGUGUGUGAAGAAGGCCCUCGGGUUGUAAAGCACUUUCAGUGAGGAAGAACGCCUGGUGGUUAAUACCCAUCAGGAAAGACAUCACUCACAGAAGAAGCCCCGGCUAACUCCGUGCCAGCAGCCGCGGUAAUACGGAGGGUGCGAGCGUUAAUCGGAAUUACUGGGCGUAAAGCGCGCGUAGGUGGCUUGAUAAGCCGGUUGUGAAAGCCCCGGGCUCAACCUGGGAACGGCAUCCGGAACUGUCAAGCUAGAGUGCAGGAGAGGAAGGUAGAAUUCCCGGUGUAGCGGUGAAAUGCGUAGAGAUCGGGAGGAAUACCAGUGGCGAAGGCGGCCUUCUGGACUGACACUGACACUGAGGUGCGAAAGCGUGGGUAGCAAACAGGAUUAGAUACCCCGGUAGUC
rnacentral:rRNA from 1 species